CACGUAGGGUGCGAGCGUUGUCCGGAAUUAUUGGGCGUAAAGAGCUCGUAGGCGGUGUGUCACGUCGGCCGUGAAAACCUGGGGCUUAACUCUGGGCGUGCGGUCGAUACGGGCAUCACUAGAGUUCGGCAGGGGAGACUGGAAUUCCUGGUGUAGCGGUGAAAUGCGCAGAUAUCAGGAGGAACACCGGUGGCGAAGGCGGGUCUCUGGGCCGAUACUGACGCUGAGGAGCGAAAGCAUGGGUAGCGAACAGG
rnacentral:rRNA from 1 species